GUCUCGAGCUCUAACAACUGAACCAAAUGGCCCCUCCAGGUUAAAUGAGAAGCGUUCCGAGGAAGCAAAUUUGGACUUUCUGUCAAUCUCACUGAGAGUCUGAGACAGAGAUCACAAGUAGGCAGAAAGGCAAGCAGAGA